AGAGUUUGAAUGUUGUAGUUUAAAAAAGCACUUAAAUUAAAACUACUUAAAAUUAAAGAGCUAUUAAUGCACUAAAUAUAAAUGGCAAAAACUAAAAAUGUAUGUAUUAAUCCUUAAUAGUAUGAAAUAAAUUUGUAGCUAAUGUAUCUUCAUAUUGAACCAAUAGAAGAAAAAAAGGAAAAGCUUACAUCCAAACUUUAGGUAUUUAUUUUUAUUAAAAAUAAAUUAUUAUCUGUUGAAUUAAAUAAUUAACAAGAAUAACACUUAAAUGUGUAACUAUUGUGAAAUUUUAAUUGUGUGAACAAUAGUAAUAAUAAUAAUUAUAAUGAUUUUCUUUUCCGUAAUACCAAGAUAACUCUUUAAUAAACAAAAAUAAAUAAAUAAGCAAUUAGAUAUUCAUACCAAAUAUAUCUAAAAACCCCUAUUUUACUCUCUUAGGGGUUGAAUUUUCAAAAAUCCUUUCUUAUUGGAUGCCUACAUCAUAAUAGCUAUCUGUGUACCAAAUGACAGCCACAUCAGUCCAGUGGUUUGGGCUAGGUGAUGAUGAUUUAGUCAGUCAGUCAGUUCUGAUUUUAUUUUUUUUAUUAUUAUUACUUUUUACUUAUUGUUCGAUAUGUUGAUGCGCAAAUGAUGUAAAAUAUUAUGUUGGUAAGAGGUAAAUGGACGAUGUGCAAAAUGAUAACAGUUGACUCAUAGACAAUAUAGUAUAUUAUACCUAUAGAUCAGAGGUGUUUUUAGGAUUUUAUAUUGGAGGAGGAGAUAUGAAAAUAUAUUAAAAAGCUGUGGGACCCAAGCUCCAACACCCCCAUUUUUAUAUAAAAACAACAUACGUUAAAUUAUAACAUAUAUUUUUGAUUAAAAUAUUGAAUUUACAAAAUGAUAUACAUUUUACUUGAUUUUUGAGCCUGUAUAUCAAGAACUUUUUUG